rnacentral:lncRNA from 1 species
CUGAUGAAGAUCAUCAAAGGUUAGUGCUACAUUUAGCUGUGGUUUGGGUUUAUGUGACAUUAUAUGCUAGCUUGAAAAAUGGGUGUCUGAUUAUUUCUGGCUGGGUACUCUGCUGACAUAAUCUAAUGUUUUGCUUUCGUUGUAAAGCCUUUUUGAAAUCGGACAGUGUGGUUAGAUUAACGAGAGUCUUGUCUUUAAAAUGGUGUAAAAUAGUCAUAUGUUUGAAAAAUUGAAGUUUUUGCAUUUUUGAGGAAUUUGAAUAAUGCGCCACGGGAUUACACUGGCUGUUGAGUAGGUGGGACGCAAGCGUCCCACCUAGCACAUAGAGGUUAGGAAGGACGUCUGUAUCUUUGUAGUGACUGGUUGUAUUGAUACACCAUCCAAAGUGUCAUUAAUAACUUCACCUUGCUCAAAAGGAUCUUCAAUGUCUUUUUUAAUUUUAUUUAGGGCACAGAGAUGAGGUAGUCAUUCAAAAAUCAUGUUAAACACUUAUGGCACACAGAGUCCAUGAAACUUAUGUGACUUGUUAAGCAAAUGUUUACUCCUGAACUUACUUAGGCUUGCCAUAACAAAGGGGUUAAAUACUUAUUGACUCCAGACAUUUAAUCUUUUCAUUUUUAAUUAGUUAGUACAAAUUUAUACAAACACAACUGCAUUUUGACUUAUGGGGUUGUGUGUGUGUGUGUGUGUGUGUGUGUGUGUGUGUGUGUGUGUGUGUGUGUGUGUGUGUGUGUGUGAGCCAUUUUAACUUCAGGCUGUAACACAACAAAAUGUCUAAAUACUUUCUGAAGGCACUGUAUAUGCUGCCUAGAACAGAAGGGUUGGUUUGACCAAAGUGCUCAAUUCUAUAUGGAAAUCAACACACAUUGAAAGAGUAAUGGUAGGAAUGACACAGUUUGAGUUUAGAGACUCAGUAAGGUACAGUAGAAACACUGUAUGAAUGAGUGUAACGCAGAAGGACAUGUUUGGAGAGACAAUGUUAGGAUGACACAGUGUGAUGAUAUGAAUGAUAAAGAAAUGGUCACAGUCACACCGAAGUACCAAGGGAGCAAAACAUUUUAUAUUGACAGUUCCUCUACCAAGGGUUGUAUCUGUGGUGUGGCCAUGCCCAUGCCGACGGCAGGAUCACAUGUUAUUUUGUACUAUGACCACAAGAUGGCCCCCUUGCAUCGGAAUAUCGUUUCUUAAAAUCAAACAAAAUCAUUUCUGUGGACAGUCAUUUGUUAUGAACUACCACUGCCAGAAAUACAUUAGAUAACUUUUUAUUUUGUCCUUUUUGAAUAGAUUCAUAUUUUAACCGAUUAACAUUUUGUGUGAUAUGUCUGCUUUAGAUUUUUCUUCCCUGAAGUGGAUGUUUAACACUCAGUGAGAUCUGAAUUCAGUGGAACUGUGAUUGCAGUAGCCUAUGAAGGCAGUAGCUGCUCUUCCAUGAGUAAUGUCUGUGACUGACUAAUGUCAGAUAGACUCCCCAAGCAGAUGCUUCCAGUUUCCACUAUGAGAAGUGUUCUGCGUGUGUUGUGGGGGCAGUAGUUCGUAAACAAAGACACUGCGUAAUGUAGGGUUCGAUUGAAUUCAACUCUCUGACUUAAAUUAGUUGAAGGGAUUUGGACAGUGAUUUCCAUUGUUUAACUGAGGAUGUUGGUUCAAUUUUUUUUCUGCCUGCUUCUCCCUAGAACCACUGGUCUGAAUAUUCCAAUCUGACAGCUAUAAUCACAACAACCUGCUGCAUUAUAACUCUAUUUUCAUUUAAACAUGAUUGUAAAGUCUGAUAAAAGAUAUCGUUGAUGCAUGGUACUGUGUUGAUUUCAUCCAACAUUUCGUAGAGUGUUCUGGUGUAUCGCAAAAGGAAGCUUCUCAGUUAGAGAAAAUCAACUUUAAAAAUGUAUCCAUCCAUAAACAUUUCAACAUCCUGUACACCUGUGUUAGUAUGAAUGACCUGGGACGGGGUGUUCUACUUAGGUCUGGAUUUACCACUUUCUCACCAUCUUCUGAGCAGAAGAAAGAAGAAAACUAUCAAGAAUGAUAAGUCAUUCACCAGAUUUUCUUAUAAUAAUUUUAGGAAAGGAAUACACACACUUCAGACAUAACACAGGCCUUUCCACCUGUGGUGUUCCCUUACAUGUCUCCCUCUCUCCUUUUGCCUUCUCAUUUGAAGAUCAAUCAAACUGCAAGAAGGAUUUGAUGCUCCAGCCUCUGGAUCUACCUUGGUGUGCAAAUCAGCUGGAAUCAGUUAAAAGAGAAACAUGUUGCUUCUGUGGCUGUGGUGGACAAGAGAGAAUACAGUACAGAUGCUCUAAAGUUCAUUAAAUAUUUACACCACUCAUUCAUUAGCAAGCAAUUCAUGUUAUAUAUCGCAUGCAAUAAGUUGUGGAAGGAAAAACAACGUGUCGGCUGUCUGUAGUUUCUGCCCCUGCCUAAGACGAGGAGACUGAAUGACAUAUCUAUGAAAUAUGUGUGCACAUGGAAUACAUGAAUAUAUUGAUAUGUGGAUAGGUGAAAUAUUAUACUUACCACUUUGUCAUUACUGAUGUGUAAUUACUGGGUUGUUCGUGUUGUUAUAGAUGAAAAUUAAAUGUAUUUUCAAUGCCCUUUGGAAACACCAAACCCCAAAGAAUACGGAUGCAUGUGCAUACCUCUUAUCCUCAUGCACAGUCCUAGGUGAACAGUGAUUGAUUUGUCCAAUUUGGUUAGAAGCGUGUCUCCAUGCUUUGAAGCCACGCUUAGCAUUCAUUCUAAUCAUGUGUCCUGACACGUUGAAAUGCAACAUCUGCCUUUUCAGUCCCCCGCCAUACAAUUAGCAAGAAAAGAUCAAUGGAUUGGCUUGCUACCAUUUUGCAUAUGAACAACAAAGCAUUUGUAAUGAGUAUAGAUGGUGCUUCAGUUUACCUGAUAUCCUUGGUUUACAAACUGAACUUCUCAAAAUAACUUGUUUGAAACAGUCAAUGAGCCCCCAUAACAUUGGGGGUCAAGAAAUGUACCUAAUCAGGACAUUUUGGGGACCCCAAGAUCAUCUCCAGUAUGAUAUUGUCCACAAGCCGGCAAUCCAGUCUUUUUUUUCUAUACAGUAUACACUCCCAUACGUGUUUAUUUGGACAGUGAAGCGAAAACUUUUAAUUUGUCUCUAUACUCCAGCAUUUUGGAUUUGAGAUCAAAUGUUUCAUAUGAGGCGACGGUACAGAAUGUCAC